rnacentral:rRNA from 1 species
UACGGAGGAUGCGAGCGUUAUCCGGAUUUAUUGGGUUUAAAGGGUGCGCAGGCGGUCUGUUAAGUCAGCGGUCAAAGCCCGGGGCCCAACCCCGGGACUGCACUGGAAACUGCCGGGCUGGAGUGUCGGAGGGGCAGGCGGAAUUCCUGGUGUAGCGGUGAAAUGCGUAGAUAUCAGGAGGAACACCGGUGGCGAAGGCGGCCUGCUGGACUGCAACUGACGUUGAGGCCCGAAAGCGUGGGGAGCAAACAGG